rnacentral:rRNA from 1 species
AGAGUUUGAUCCUGGCUCAGAUUGAACGCUGGCGGAAUGCUUUACACAUGCAAGUCGAGCGGCAGCGCGGUCUUCGGACUGGCGGCGAGCGGCGAACGGGUGAGUAAUACAUCGGAACAUGCCCAGUCGUGGGGGAUAACACUUCGAAAGAAGUGCUAAUACCGCAUACGUCCUGAGGGAGAAAGCGGGGGAUCGCAAGACCUCGCGCGAUUGGAGUGGCCGAUGUCAGAUUAGCUAGUUGGUGGGGUAAAGGCCUACCAAGGCAACGAUCUGUAGCUGGUCUGAGAGGAUGAUCAGCCACACUGGGACUGAGACACGGCCCAGACUCCUACGGGAGGCAGCAGUGGGGAAUUUUGGACAAUGGGGGCAACCC